AGGACGAACGCUGGCGGCGUGCUUAACACAUGCAAGUCGAGCGAGGCCCUUCCUUCGGGAAGGUGCCCUAGCGGCGAACGGGUGAGUAACACGUGGGCAACCUGCCCCUAGCACUGGGAUAACUCCGGGAAACCGGGGCUAAUACCGGAUAUGACCUCCGAGGGCAUCCCUGGUGGUGUAAAGGAUUCUGGCUAGGGAUGGGCCCGCGGCCUAUCAGCUUGUUGGUGGGGUAAUGGCCUACCAAGGCGACGACGGGUAGCCGGCCUGAGAGGGCGACCGGCCACACUGGGACUGAGACACGGCCCAGACUCCUACGGGAGGCAGCAGUGGGGAAUAUUGCACAAUGGGCGAAAGCCUGAUGCAGCGACGCCGCGUGAGGGAUGACGGCCUUCGGUUGUAAACCUCUUUCAGCAGGGACGAAGCGAAAGUGACGGUACCUGCAGAAGAAGCACCGGCCAACUACGCGCCAGCAGCCGC
rnacentral:rRNA from 1 species